rnacentral:misc_RNA from 1 species
AAUUAAACACUUCCCAGAAAACUCUUUUACUCCAAACUACUCAACUUGCAAUAUCAUCAAAGUUAUCAACCCUAUAGAUUGGAGACAAGACCUUUCACUUCUCAAAAAAUUUCAAGUCACAUUUGGAACAAGCCUACUAUCCAAUCAAACUUUCACUUGUUGGGAUUAUCACCAUGCCUGGAUUAAUGCUUUUCUAAUUCAAAAUUCCAACCAAAUCCUCACUUGGCUCUUCCUCUUUAACACCAUUUCUAAAUUUCAUUUUCCUAGAUGGUUUGCCCAAUGGUAAACAUGGAUGGGAGCCACAUUCGAAAUUUUGCCUUCUGAUAUCUAUCAAGGGUAUACCACUUUUAAAGCUAAAUACGUGCCUCCAGUAGAGGAAGAACUUUUCCAUCCUCUAAUUCUUUUUGCUUCAAAAUUCUUUGUCCCUUGGGUUCUUGCUUGGAACUAUGAAUAUAAAAUUGGACAAUUUCUUCAACAUCUUUCUUUAAAUCUUGAAGUUAUCUUUCUUUUAAUAAAAUUAGACAGUUCAGUUGGUUUUCAUAAACAGAACAGGCUUUAAUGAUGUUUAAGUUGCGAGUUUGAGGCUUUUCCACAAAAGGAAAAACAAUUCUUUUACCUUUAAUCUUCGAGAAAAUAUGAUCAUAAUUCACAGCAUAUGGAGUGAUAAGAUUUAUGAAUGGAGUGCAAAGUAUGACAGAUGAUGAAUGUUGUGUACAAGCAAAAAUGAAGUUUUGAUAUGCAAACCGUUGUUGGAAACAUGUGCAUCAAUCUUGGAAUCAAUUUUAAGAUAAGAGUUAUUUGCAGUUUUGAGUCUUUCUUUGGUGGCUUCUUGAAAUCUUUUUAGAAUUAUUCCUUCCUUGAUACAAUUAAGGUCAGUAUCUGUAUCAAAAAGAGCAAUAUUGUCCAAUCUAAAAUCAUCAGAAAUCUUUAGUUAUUUUGAUGAAAUAUUUUUGAGAAGUGACUUGCUUUAAAACGAAGAGAAAAUUUUCUGGAAUAUUUUUAAGAUUGGCUGUUUGGGGUGUUUCAAUUUUGGGUUCAGGUUCAUCUUCUUCUUCAGAGAAUUUCUUAAGAAGAAGUUGGAU